rnacentral:tRNA from 1 species
GGUUGUGGCUCAGUGGUAGAGCGUAUGCCUCACAUGCAUGAGGCCCUGGGUUCAAUUCUCAGCACCA